rnacentral:misc_RNA from 1 species
UCUAACCCGCAAGGGAGGGGGACGCCUAAGGCAGGGCUGAUGACUGGGGUGAAGUCGUAACAAGGUAGCCGUACCGGAAGGUGUGGCUGGAUCACCUCCUUUUAAGGAGACCCAAUCUGUUCAGGUCGCAACGUCACCUUAUUAGAACAGAUUCAAUGCGGUCUAAUCACGGGGUUGACCUUGGCUUUCAAACUCUGCUAGGUUAAGCAGACAGGCAUGGGCU